rnacentral:rRNA from 1 species
AGUGAACGCUGGCGGUAGGCCUAACACAUGCAAGUCGAACGGCAGCACAGUAAGAGCUUGCUCUUACGGGUGGCGAGUGGCGGACGGGUGAGGAAUACAUCGGAAUCUACUUUUUCGUGGGGGAUAACGUAGGGAAACUUACGCUAAUACCGCAUACGACCUACGGGUGAAAGCAGGGGAUCUUCGGACCUUGCGCGAUUGAAUGAGCCGAUGUCGGAUUAGCUAGUUGGCGGGGUAAAGGCCCACCAAGGCGACGAUCCGUAGCUGGUCUGAGAGGAUGAUCAGCCACACUGGAACUGAGACACGGUCCAGACUCCUACGGGAGGCAGCAGUGGGGAAUAUUGGACAAUGGGCGCAAGCCUGAUCCAGCCAUACCGCGUGGGUGAAGAAGGCCUUGGGUUGUAAAGCCCUUUUGUUGGGAAAGAAAAGCAGCAGGUUAAUACCCCGCUGUUCUGACGGUACCCAAAGAAUAAGCACCGGCUAACUUCGUG